AAGACCAUAGUCAAUAUCAAUGACAUAUGAGUUGCAUUCAUAAAGAGUUUUAAAAACUGGUUUUG
rnacentral:tRNA from 1 species